rnacentral:rRNA from 1 species
GAUGAACGCUGGCGGCGUGCCUAAUACAUGCAAGUCGAGCGAACAGAUAAGGAGCUUGCUCCUUUGACGUUAGCGGCGGACGGGUGAGUAACACGUGGGUAACCUACCUAUAAGACUGGAAUAACUCCGGGAAACCGGGGCUAAUGCCGGAUAACAUUUAGAACCGCAUGGUUCUAAAGUGAAAGAUGGUUUUGCUAUCACUUAUAGAUGGACCCGCGCCGUAUUAGCUAGUUGGUAAGGUAACGGCUUACCAAGGCAACGAUACGUAGCCGACCUGAGAGGGUGAUCGGCCACACUGGAACUGAGACACGGUCCAGACUCCUACGGGAGGCAGCAGUAGGGAAGCUUCCGCAAUGGGCGAAAGCCUGACGGAGCAACGCCGCGUGAGUGAUGAAGGUCUUCGGAUCGUAAAACUCUGUUAUUAGGGAAGAACAAAUGUGUAAGUAACUGUGCACGUCUUGACGGUACCUAAUCAGAAAGCCACGGCUAACUACGUG